CAAACGCAGUAGAUAACUUCAUCAAGCAUUUCUCUCCAGUUAUUACAGCUGUUAUUCAAGCGGAAUAAGGCGAAGGAUAAAAAAUGAAAAAAUAAAAAGGACGAACAAAAUUACAUAUAUAAACGAGUAAUUUUCUGGACUGGUUAAAUAGAAUAUUUUUGUUAAAAUUGAUAGACCGUGCAAAGAUUAAUCCCCAAGAUAAAAACUGAAAUAAUUGAACGUUACUCAAUUUUUCAAAGAGAAACAUAACAUUUAACAAGAUAAGUACAAAAUAAGAGAUUGUUUUUAGAUGCAGAAACAUUUCAGGAUUUCUUGUAAACCGAAAAAUCGAUAGAACGGAUAAUUCAAGGUAAUAAAGCAUUCUGGAGCCUUCGGAGAAUACAUGACUGGAAACGACUUACCAAUAAACGUAAAAGAAAAGUUUUCUGAUCAUGUAUACGACCUCAAGGCUAUUCACCCUUCAGAGCAGGCAGAAACGUGGUCAUUGACAAAAAUGAGAUUAGAAACAUGCUACAGAUAUUAUAAAAUGUAUAAGAAAACACGUGAACUGAAUGUUGGAUUAAGGAUCGGACCAAACUUAUUACUGAAUGGAGCGCGAGAGGCGGAAAUAGAAGAGAUUGUCCAUCAAGAAGAUGGAGAGAUAAAAGCUUUUGGUGGCUCAACACUUGGUAGCAGACAUCAAAGAAUCUGACCGAAUAGAGAAAUCUGUAGAUGGGUAAAGAGAUUCCAGUCCCAAUCGUCCUUUCUGCUAUUGAUAUUAUUCCCAGAAUUCUAUAUCAAAGUAUGCAGAUGCUAGAUUUACUGAAAAAAUGUCUACAUCUAAGUAUGGAAGAUUACAAUUUUAAAUAUAUAAAACACAACCCAUCGUGGGGCAGACCCACAAUGGGACCGCUGGGUGGUGAGGAAUGGAGCCCAAUGUAUCCGAUGCAAACCGUCCCGAAAAAUUCCUUGGAUAGUUCACUCGGAUUCGAUCCCGGAUCCUACAGAACGUAGACUGACACUUUAACCGCCUCGGCAUCCGGCCGACUACAUACAUAUUGUAUUUAGUCAUUUUCAUAGAUCA